UCGUCUGUUGGGUGCAGGGGGGAGGGCAAGCGCGGUUUGUUUUUCCCCAGGAAAACUCUGCUCAUCGGAGUGACCUUGAAGUGGGGGAGCUGGAACACGGCAAGACGAAAGAAGCUCUGUUGUUUUUUCCCCGGGAGUUAGUUAGUUUAGUGCUAGCGUAGUUAGACGCUGUAGAAUAGCUGAAGCUCUUUGCUUUUUUUUUCUUUUUCUUUUUUUGUCCUUUUUUCCUUCCUUUUUGCUUUUUUUGUCCUCUCCUCUGAACUGUUCCAACCUCUCCGGACUAAGGACCUGGGGAAGCACCGGGGGCCUCCACAGGGGACUCACCCCCCCAAGACCAGCCCUGCACAUCUCCUUUUCUCCCAACGUCAGCAGAGACGGAGCGGUGGAGCACAGUGACGACCCUCGAGGAGACUUUCUUUAAGUUUGUUAUCCCUCCGAAUGGCCUUGUUCAGAGGUCCUCUGUACAUUGUUAUAAAAGGUGGUGUUAAGUGUUCUGCUCAGUGGAAAUCCAGUGAAAGAAGCAAGAGAGGAAGAGAACCAAAGCUGAGAGGGAAGUUGGGGAAGGAGCUCCCCCAAGAACUGGAGGUGCCAUUGCAAGAAAGAGGCAGUGCCAUUGGGGUCCAUAACAGCAGCUGAUGGUGACAAGGCAAGUUCUGAUCACACCUGAUUCCUCACCAUUGUGGC